CUGCCCACGGAGAUGAGCCACCAGAAAUGACUCGAGAAUGAACGGCCACCAGGGAUGUGCCCCACAUUGAAGGUGCACCCAGGACCCCACCCAGAUCCCACCCUCCAAUCUGAGCUCCCACAGACCCCUUCAGACGCGAGCGCUGCUUCCCCUCACCCACAAGGCACUCUGCAAAGAGCUGAAGAACCAAACAGGACCCCCGUCUCCAGCCCCAGAGCCCACCAUCCUCCAGAGCAUCACAAGGCAUCUAACUGCCCUCAGCAUGGCCUCCCAGCAGCCAACGGCCCGGAGCAUAAUGAGAAGGUUCUGUGAAAGGAAACUUUAAAAUAUUCAAAGAAGGGACCAGGUGCUCCUUUGGGUCCAGAGCCCCCAGCCCUGCAGGGCAGAGGGGCAGCCCCUGUGACCACUGUGUGACCACCAGUGAGCCCAAAUGCCAGGAAAGAGAACCAGCGAUCCCAGAAAAUAGACAGUGGAGAACUCCCGCCCCCUGUUUUGACCAGACUGCCACCUCCCUGCCAAGAACCAGGGCUGGCCCCUCCCUCCACCCAGCAAUACCCAAAAGACCCCUUAUUCCAGAAAUUUCUAUAAUGCUGUAGCAUUAACUCUCUUUCACUUGACUCAAUUAUAAAUUACCAUUUUUUAAUCAGCCUCUGAUAUU